rnacentral:rRNA from 1 species
AAAUUGAAGAGUUUGAUCAUGGCUCAGAUUGAACGCUGGCGGCAGGCCUAACACAUGCAAGUCGAACGGUAACAGGAAGCAGCUUGCUGCUUCGCUGACGAGUGGCGGACGGGUGAGUAAUGUCUGGGAAACUGCCUGAUGGAGGGGGAUAACUACUGGAAACGGUAGCUAAUACCGCAUAAUGUCGCAAGACCAAAGAGGGGGACCUUCGGGCCUCUUGCCAUCGGAUGUGCCCAGAUGGGAUUAGCUUGUUGGUGGGGUAACGGCUCACCAAGGCGACGAUCCCUAGCUGGUCUGAGAGGAUGACCAGCCACACUGGAACUGAGACACGGUCCAGACUCCUACGGGAGGCAGCAGUGGGGAAUAUUGCACAAUGGGCGCAAGCCUGAUGCAGCCAUGCCGCGUGUAUGAAGAAGGCCUUCGGGUUGUAAAGUACUUUCAGCGGGGAGGAAGG